GCCUACAACUAAUUAAACUAUCACUGAAGUUUAUUCCUUAACUCAAAGCACAUCGCUGGAAUAAAACUAUUUUUGUAGCUAUUAGUAUCCGAAACUUUGGCAGGGACAAACAGUCCUUAUUACGCAAAGUCCGUCCGUGCGCGGCCACUCGUGUUGGUGGCAGAAGGUGGUUCAAUCGGUUGUUGGGUUUAGCAAUCUUCUCAAAGGUUUUCGUACACAAAUCGUGUCUCCUAGUGUCUAAGCGAGGGAUUUGGGCAAUAAAGCUUCCGCAUGCGCGAAUAUUAUUUUACUGGGAUUACUGUCCGCAUUACAAUGUCAACUCUACCCCAAACUACACAUUGUAUCCUUCGAUUUAUCCAUCAAUUUGACCAGCUUUCAUAAAUUGAAACAUUUACAUGAUCCUUUAGUUUACUGAUUUGGUCAAUCAUUAAUAAAACAUUUAAAGUGCCACUAACCCCCUAAAUUUUUUUUUCAAAUAAUAAAUAACCGCUAUUUAUGGAGUACAAAACUGGAAAAUUUUUUUUAAUCGGUUGAAUUCUCGCAAUUCUAUGGCUUCCCAAAGUGUGCACACAUUUGUUCCACGACCGAGUUUUGGGAGACUGGUGAGAGAGGAAUGUGUGACGUCAAUUGGUGAACUCAUGCGAAGCCUCCUUGUAAACACUAUACAUUUACCAUUACAAAGAAGCUUUAAUUUCGAAGAAUAAUUCGCGGUUUUUUAUAUCUUUUUGCAAUGUCUUCGACGGAUGCAUCUUCCGAGGCUUCUUCGUUCGCAUCAGGGAACGAUUAUUUAUCAGAAUAUGAC